GCACCUCUUCUCGGUGAUUUCUUCCACCCCAGGCAAGCCACGCCAUCCAUUUGCAUGAUUGAAAUGCAGUGACAUGGUUUAUUCAUUUAAACUUGUUUAAAAUAUUGCUUUAGCUAUAUGUGAUCUGUUCAUGGCAUUUCCCGGAGUAUUGAUUUGAUCUUCAUAUUGCUUGGAGUAUUAGGCUUAUAUUUUUGAUGAUUAUGUGGACGACAUGUGCCUUUGGAUUCUUAGUGGCUAUUAGGAUUAUUUUCAUGAUGGUAUCUGGUAUUCUUUUGGAGAAUUACUUUGGAUGACAUGUGCCUUUGGAUUCCUAGUGGCUAUUAGGAUUAUUUUCAUGAUGGUAUCUGGUAUUAGUUUGGAGUAUUACUUUGGAUGACAUGUGCCUUUGGAUUCUUAGUGGCUAUUAGGAUUAUGUCCAUGAUGGUAUCUAUUAUUAUAUUUUGGAGUAUUACUUUGGAUAUCAUGCUGCCUUUGGAUUAUUAGUGGUUAGUAUGAUUAUUUUCAUGAUGCUAGUUGAUUCUCUGUUGCUUGAAGUAUUAUUUUCGAAAAUGAUGUUUACAUGUGGAUCUUAGUCGAAUAGCUUUAUUCUUGUUAUUGGAGUAGUAGGAUUAUUGUUUUCGGAUUCAUCAUGACAGUAGUGAUGUGCUACCCUUGGAGUAUUUUUGAGGUGAUAAUAUUAGGCUUGGAUUAUUUGUUGGAUUUUGCUAUGACUUGGAUUAUAGUUUGAUAGUUGAUAUCGAAGUAUCAGUCAUCGCAGUUAUACUUUGGUGGAUAAAUUCAGUCAUUAAGUUGGUCAGGUGCCACCGAACUGGGCUUUCUCCAGUGCAACCACAUUUGCCUUUAUGGGAAGGCCCUAAUGCGGUCUAUUGCCGUGCCUCUCGCCGGUGCCUCCAACUACGGAAGGUUAUGGGAAUGCGGUACCCUGGCCCGGUGAUUCCAUGAUUGCUUGAUUUCUUGUCAAGGUUGCCGUGUGUGCGAGCUAGAUCGUGUCCCAGCCAGAGUCCCUGAGGAGUGGAGUUCACUACCUUCGUCGUUGUUCCGCUGCUACGAGUUGUUCUGCUGCUAGCAUAGAGCAAGUGUAGUAUUGCAGGCGUAGUGCCGCCGUGCUGAUGUGCUUCUUUGUAAUAUCAUACCCUUGUAUUAUUAUCCUUGUAAUAAGAGCUGAUUUGUUCUA